rnacentral:piRNA from 1 species
UGAGAGCUGCCAAAGAUCACACAGU